GUGCAAGUCCAUAAUCCCAGUUUUCCUUCUUCUUCCCUUUUCUCGCGUUGAUAGCAACAUCUCAAGCUCCUUUGGCUUGAACCUUUGAGUUGCGAGGACAUUAUCUUGCUUCUUAAAGAUUGGGAUUAAAUUUUAAGGCUGAAAAAGCCUUAAUCAUGGUUCCAUUUUUUACCUAUACACCCUGUCUGUUCUAUAGCCGAUCAAAGAAACCACUUCCAUGAAUUCCUGAAUCAAUGCAAUAGCAUGUUGUUGAGCGCUGUGGAUCAUCAACUAGAAAGCAAAAUCU
rnacentral:misc_RNA from 1 species